rnacentral:rRNA from 1 species
CGUCUAUAUACGUAUAGCAUAUCAAUAAGCGGAGGAAAAGAAACUAACUAGGAUUCCCUCAGUAACGGCGAGUGAAGCGGGAAGAGCUCAAAUUUGAAAUCUUCAAGGUUCUACCUUGACGAAUUGUAGUUUAAAGAAGUGUUUUCUGUUGGAGUUUUGGUAAAAGUUCUUUGGAAUAGGACAUCAUAGAGGGUGAGAAUCCCGUAUUUGACCAUUAUUUCCAACUUUGUGAUACACUUUCAAAGAGUCGGAUUGUUUGGGAAUGCAGUCCAAAAUGGGUGGUAAAUUUCAUCUAAAGCUAAAUACUGGCGAGAGACCGAUAGCGAACAAGUACCGUGAGGGAAAGAUGAAAAGAACUUUGAAAAGAGAGUUAAACAGUACGUGAAAUUGUCAAAGGGAAGCGUUUGACACCAGUGUUGUUUUCUCGAAAAUCAAUUAAAAAUAGCUUGGAUUUUGUGUUGUAUUGACCUUAUAAGUUUUCUGCACUCUUUUCCUGUUAUUUUUAAUGCACUUUUCGUUUAACAAGUCAACAUCAAUUUCUUUUGUUGUAAAAGGGUCAUUGGAAGGUGGCUUUCUUUUCGGAGAAAGUGUUUAUAGCCUUUGACUCCUGCAAUCGGAGAGACUGAGGUCUGCAGCGUAGAUCCUUUUGGAUUAGAUGCAUUUGUGCUAAGUUAUAGCCUUUUAUAGACAACAUGUUGACUAUGAUUAGUCAUUGUAGCUUACUCGCUUAUGUAAUUUUACCUACGCUUAGGAUGUUGACGAUCAGCUGAGCGCG